AUGUUAAAAAUGUCUGUGAAGACAUCAGUGAGUUCUGCUGCACAGUCUUUCAGUACACGCCCAGGGAUGUUGUCAGGACCCGGAGCUUUGCGGGCAUUGAUCCUGCUGAAGGAUCUCCUCACACUGUCUGGGGUCAGAGUCAUCACCUGGUCGCCGGGAGGAGGUGGAGUCUUCUGUGCAGUAGUGCUGUUUUGUUGCUCAAAGCGAGCGAAGAAGGUGUUCAGCUCGUUCAGCAGAGAGAUGUUGUUGUCACAGGCUCCUAGUGUCUCUGCUGUCGCUGAAUUGGUGAGCUAUCCUCCUGGAGUGCUGUCUCUUAGCCUCUCUGAUGCCGCGGGACAGGUUGGCCCUAGCUGUUCUCAGGCCCACCUCAUCUCCAGCUCUGAAGGCAGCAUUCCGUGUCUUCAGGAGUCUGUAGACCUCCCCCGUCAUCCAUGGCUUCUGGUUGGCCCGGACAGUGAUAGUUUUUGUGAUCGUUACAUCAUCAAUACACUUAUUGAUGUAGGCAGUAACAGUCUCUGAGUACUCCUGGAGGUCAGUGGUGUUAUUGCAUGUGGCAGCCUGUUUAAACAUGUCCCAGUCAGUUGUGUUGAAGCAGUCCUGAGUGUUCCACAGACUGUCGCACUACUAACUCAUGCUCAUAUCUGAUUGGUGGAGAAACUGGAUAAACUACAUAAACCCAAUCAUGUAUGAGACAUGACCUCUUACGAUGCUCAAGCUAUCAAGCUAUGGUUACAGAGGAAUGUUAUUUGAGAGAACUUACUUUAUCUUCAAGUCAUCAGCAGCCAGUUUAGAGUUGUCGAUCUGCAGGAGGAUGUUGGCAUUGUUGAUAUUAGCAGUUUGAAUCUACAUUAUAGAACAUUGAUAAAAAAAAAUGUAUUAAUGUAGAGCAUACUUAAACAUUGUGUCACUUAAAAAAUUUACCAAGAGUACCUUUUCCUUCAGGCAACUGAUGGUGUUCCAGUAGUGUCUGUAGUCCCUCUGUGCGAUCAGCCCUUUCUUCUCAUAGUACUCACGGAUCUGCCUUUCCAGGAUGGCAUUGGCAGCCUCCAGUGAGCACACCUCAGGCAGGACGCCAGACAGUCGUUCAGGUUCUGCAUGGUGCCCUUCUCAUUCAGCUGGAUGUAGUCACAGUUUCCAAGCAUGAUUCUAAAUCCUCCACUGUUUAGUUUGCAGUGCAGAUCUGGAUAGCAACCAACCCGGAGAUAACAGGAGGAAGAGAUGUGGGAGCUUCCUCCAAAACCACAGCCAUAAACAUUGUAGGUGGUGGGUGCACAAGGAAUUGUCAUACCACAGCGAAUCGGAGUGACUAUGGACUUUGAAGCCAUGAUCUUGAGACUGAAGCAGGAUGAUGUAGAUGAUAUGGUGAUGAGAUAAAACCAGAGAGGAAACCGUUAGAGAUCUCCUGAUGAAGAUGGGACCUUUGAGCCCAGCUCUGAGCUCUUAUAGAGAUAGAGAUCCAGGGUGGCUCCUGGACUUUGUGGGAGAAGAAGACAGAGGUGUGUGUGUGUGUGUGUGUGUGUGUGUGUGUGUGUGUGUGUGUGUGUGUGUGUGUGUGUGUGUGUGUGUGUGUGUGUGUGUGUGUGUGUGGAAGUGUUUUGUGCCAGUUUUAUGCCCUUUGACAGUUAAGUGCCGAAAAAGGAUGCUAUUUAAGGUUAUGCAAGGUUAGAUUUUCUAAAGUAAACACAUUUUGUGAGAACUGAUGACAUUUUAUUGUUCAUUUAAAAUGAUUUAUCUCCUUUGUUAUUAGCUUUCCUCCCAAUGUUAUAGGUAUAUGAUUUAGUUUAAACUGAGCAGGGCAAAUGGCCUGUCCUGCUAAAACAAUUGGUCUAAAAAGUCAGGAAGAAAAGGUCUGGUAGAUCUCACUUAGAGAAAUAUUUAGCUUGUGAGCACCACCAAGUCUUAGUUUUAUGUAACAGCAGUGGCUCCUGGCAAGUGACCAAAAGCAUGAAUCUUAUUGGUUUACCAGGUUUCUGGAUGGAAAAAAGAAAAAGCAUUCCAUAAAAACAAUAUGUUGCAUUGGCAGCAUGCAAAUGUUUGUGUCAGUCCGAACAAACACAUUCAUUCAAGUCAAAAUAUUUAUCGUACUGAAUUUUCACACCUAAUAUUUAUCUUGGUGUGACCAGGCCAUAAGUGUGUGAGAAAAAUAUCAGAAUGAUUGCAUCCAGUGUUGCUGGGAUGCAUCCAGAAGUAUAUAUAUAUAUAUAUAUAUAUAUAUAUAUAUAUAUAUAUAUAUAUAUAAGAGUCACUAGGUCUAGAAUAAUAAGGUGUCUUUAAUUAAUAGGUUAAAACUAAAGCCAGAAAAAUGUCUGUACUUCACAUUAAGUUAAAUGUCUACUUAAAUUUCUAGUAGAUAAUUAUGAAAAUAUUACAUAAAUGUUACCUUACAGACAUUAAAACAAAAUGUGCUACAAAACUCCUGCAUCUCCUCUAUUAAACUGUACAUUUCUUCAAAAUUCUUUCACAGUUAGCAGCUGCAUUGAAUUCAGCUUUAUGUGAUUUUUCAUCGCUUGAUACAAAUGACCAAGUCUAUCAAAAUGUAUGAUAUAGUUUUUUCUUAAACACAACCAUGAGUAAAACCCAUUUUCAUAUUUUUACUUACUUUUAUCAAAACUGUUUCAUUUAUGUAACCUACAUUUAUGUGAACUACACUUACAUAAUUAUAUAAGUACUAUUAUAAUAAGUAUAUUUUUUCUCAGUACUGAGAAAUAGCACUGAGAAAUUGGGACCUAGCCAUUUAUUGUUAUUGCUUCACUAAUUGGGGUGGUAUAGGGAUAGGGCAGUCUUCUUAGUGCUUUAAGAUGUUUGUUGUGGUCCUUCCACAGAUGCUCCUGAGCCAGAUGUUAGAUCAUGAUGUUGUAUCUAAGUAAACUUUAAGGGUCCAGUAUGGGUGGGACAGUGGCAUUGAUGCUGGUCAUGACUAGCUCUCAGAUCACUUCAUGAUGACAGGCGAGAGUGCUACUGGGUGGUAAUCAUUAGGAAAGGUAGGAUAUUGUUGACUUCUUUGGCGCAGGGAUGAUUCAUUUUUUAAUCUGGGUGAUAUACAUAUACAAAGUCGUAAAAUUUGUACAUUAUCCCAUUUUCUCCAUGAUAUAUGUGAUCAUCAAAUUAUUAAAUAAUAUCAUCAUACGCAACAUAUAAUUGUAAAUCUGAGAAGUACUUCUUAAGAGUAACAGUAGGAAUUAUUUCAUGAGCCUGUUUUAUGCUGUAACAAAUAUUUGUAGUAUAAUAUGAUAUGUGGCCUGGAAACAGUGUCCAGAUAAGGCUUUUGUAGGAUUUUUUUUUUUUUAAGGCUAACUUUAAAUCUAAUUGUAAUAGUUUGAUCUUUCUUUUCUUUUUCUGGAAUGAGUUAAUAAUUUUAAAAGGUCAGUAAAACGUGAAUACAUUACACAUGACUGAAUAAUAAUUAAUGAUGAUUCAGUGCGAAGACAUUGGGCCCGUCCAGUCCAGAGAUAUUUAAGUUGUUGUCGUUAUCUGGCGUUGACAAUAAGAGUGGAACGAUUUAUCACUGAAUUCUUAAUCAUAAUCAUUAAUCUGCAAAUCUUUCUUUAGCUGUAAGUCCACCUGCAGAUACAAACACAAAAGUCUGAGUCCCGCUGUAUCGCUCAGGCUGCACUGCAGUGUCUAUUCACAGGUGCGACCCCACUACUGAUCGGCACGGGGGCUUUGACCUGCUCCGUCUCCGACCUGGGCCGGUUCACCCCUCCUUAGACGACCUGGUGGUCCCGAGCUCCCCCAGGAGCACCAUAUCGAUACCGAACUUAGCGCGGACACCCGAUCGACAUAGUCCACUGCAGCCCAGAACCCCUGAACUCAAGCGAUCCGCCAGCCUCAGCCUCCCAGCAGCUUGGAUUACAGGCGCGCGCCACUGCACCCGGCGAGAGCUCAGAACAUCAGCGCUGACUCAAUCUCACUAAAUUGAGUCGCAGCAUAGCGUAGCCCUAGUGUGUAGUGCGUCAUUUGGGACACAAGUGGUGGCGUUUCACGAAAACCUAGGGCAGGGGUAUUUUAGAAAGUAAGUCAUGCAGGUUUGAACUGGCAUGAGGGAAAUUACACUUUUGGUUGAACAGAUUUUCCAAGAGUUUUGGUCUUUAUAUUUCUUUCCCAGUGGAGGUCCGAACAAUAGGCUAUAGGCCUAUAUUACACAUCUGGGCACCAGUGAUGCUUUGUAAAAGAAAAGAAAAGAAAAGAAAAGAAAAGAAAAGAAAAGAAAAGAAAAGAAAAGAAAAGAAAAGAAAAGAAAAGAAAAGAAACAGAAUACUGGGUCCUCAAAGCUAAAGGCCAGUGGCUUCUGAAAAUUUUUCUAGAAAAUAAUAACAAUAAUAACAAUUCAUCAGUUGAUGCCCAAUUAGAUUAUAUGUUUUUCAAACUACUAUAAACUAUUAUUUUAUUUUAAUUUUUUUUUACAUUUAGAUAUGCCCUACAUAUGUAAGACAGAAGACCAUGUGACAGAAAUACUGUUCAGAGUUUUCCUCUUGAAGUCUGGAACAUUUUUAUAUCUUGCUUAAAACAAACAUAAUCAAAAUGCUCUCAUCAUGAGCAGAAAACAGUUGAUAAUUGUUGUGGGCAAAUAAAGAAACAAAACUAUUUAAAAAAAAUAUUUAGUUAAUUUAAU
ensembl:lncRNA